GUGCCAGCAGCCGCGGUAAGACGUAGGAGACGAGCGUUGUCCGGAUUUACUGGGCGUAAAGCGCGCGCAGGCGGCCCCGCAGGUCGGUUGUGAAAGCCCCCGGCUCAACCGGGCGGAGGCGAGCGAAACCGCGGGGCUGGAGGCUUGCAGAGGGUGGUGGAAUUCCCGGUGUAGUGGUGAAAUGCGUAGAGAUCGGGAGGAACACCCGCGGCGAAGGCGGCCACCUGGACCAGGCCUGACGCUGAGGCGCGAAGGCCGGGGGAGCGAACGGGAUUAGAUACCCCCGUAGUCC
rnacentral:rRNA from 1 species